AAAAAACCUCUUUCACUCUACAGCCAGCAGUCUAAGAUGUUAAGCUCCUGUUUUGGGAGCUGCUUUGGUGGGGACGAUGGUGAUGAUCUUUUAUGGCAUAUGGACUUGAAGCCACAUGCCACAGGUGAAUAUUCUGUUGCUGUAGUUCAGGCCAAUUCUUUGCUUGAAGAUCAAGGUCAAGUUUUUACAACCCCUAGUGCUACUUAUGUGGGUGUUUAUGAUGGUCAUGGUGGCCCGCAAGCUUCUCGCUUCAUCAACAACAAUCUCUUCCCUCAACUACAAAAGCUGGCUUUGGAAGAAGGAGGAUUGUCUGAGGACGUGA
rnacentral:misc_RNA from 1 species